rnacentral:rRNA from 1 species
AAAUUGAAGAGUUUGAUCAUGGCUCAGAUUGAACGCUGGCGGCAGGCCUAACACAUGCAAGUCGAACGGUAACAGGAAGCAGCUUGCUGCUUUGCUGACGAGUGGCGGACGGGUGAGUAAUGUCUGGGAAACUGCCUGAUGGAGGGGGAUAACUACUGGAAACGGUGGCUAAUACCGCAUAACGUCGCAAGACCAAAGAGGGGGACCUUCGGGCCUCUUGCCAUCAGAUGUGCCCAGAUGGGAUUAGCUUGUUGGUGAGGUAACGGCUCACCAAGGCGACGAUCCCUAGCUGGUCUGAGAGGAUGACCAGCCACACUGGAACUGAGACACGGUCCAGACUCCUACGGGAGGCAGCAGUGGGGAAUAUUGCACAAUGGGCGCAAGCCUGAUGCAGCCAUGCCGCGUGUAUGAAGAAGGCCUUCGGGUUGUAAAGUACUUUCAGCGGGGAGGAAGGUGUUGUGGUUAAUAACCGCAGCAAUUGACGUUACCCGC